GGGCCCUCCCUGUGCUGCCCAGCCAGGCCCCGGCGAGCUGUUUAUGUGGGAUCCAAGGCUGGCAGAGGACAGCAGGCCCAGCCCGAGUGUUUUCCUCGCUGCCGCUGCCGAGAAGAUGAGUGAGAGGAGCAGAAUAACAAAAAGCCACUUCAAAACACCAGCCCAAGACAAAGCAGAGGAGAACAGAGGUUUCGGGCACACACUCACACGGGCACACACUCACACACACGCCCCCAGAACCCCGCCGCGCUGCUGCUGCUGCUGCUGCUGCUGCUUCGGGAGAACAAAAACAAGUCACGAGGGAGCCUCCAGCCGUCAGCCUCCGGUGAGCCCUCUCUACCAUCAGCGCUGGCAGAGACGAAGAGGAGGAAGCUGGAGCUGUGGACUUUGGCUCCUAGAAACCCCGUGGGGAAGAGGGUGGGCAGAAGUUACUCCGUAAGACGAUGAAUGACCCAAGAGUAAGUGAGGGAGGAGGCUAGAAGGAAGGGAAGUUUGGAGCGCGGGGAGGCUCUGGGGCUGGGCCAUCAAGGAGCUCUCUUUGAGGGAUGGGUAGUGUCUUAGUCUGCUUAAACAGCCAUAACUGUGACUUAAAUGUCAGAAAUGUAUUUCCUCCUGAUUCUGGGGGCAGAAGUCCAGGCUUGAGGUGCAGGCAGCAUGGGUUAUUCCGAAGGCCUUUUUCCUUGGCUUGCUCAUUGAGGUUGCCUCAUGUGGUUGGUGUUGUCUGGGUCCCAAUCCCCUCUUCUUAGGAAGACACCGGUCAUAGUGCAUUGGAGUCACCCAGAGGACCUCAUUUUACCUUAAUGAGUCUCACAUUAUGAGGGUUAGGACAUCAUAUGAGUGAGAGGGUCACAAUUCAGCCUACAACAGGUGGGAAGUCUUCGCAUUUUCUCAGUGACAAAAACGUUUAUUGUGACCCCCCAAAAUCACAAAAAUGGUAAAUAAAAACUUCUUUGAGAUGACCUUAAAUGUCCAGCCUUUCAAAAAAAAAAAAUGUAAGUAUUCUGAGAGGCCUGAGGCAGGAGGGUUGCAAGUUGGAGCUUUGCUUGGGCAACUUGACAACUUAGUGAGACCCUGCCCCCA
rnacentral:lncRNA from 1 species